UUUUUCAUUUUCGUUUUUUCCGUCUUCUCUCUGAGAAAGAGAACUGAGAAGAACUCUGUCUCUGAUUCUCUGAACUCCAUAGAUUAGUCUCAAUUCUCCAUUAAAUCAUUAAUCUCCAACAACGAACAACACCAGUUACUCCACCUCUCGAUCCAGAAGAAGAAUGAGAAAAGUCAGUGAUUUGUGGUAAGUUAUCACUCACGCCAGGGAGAAGACGAAGGGAAAGGAUUCAAGGAAGAAGGAACCAUCCAACUUUAACCAAGGAAACCCAUUAAGUCAUGGAUGCAUCAAGUCUAGCUUGUGGAACAGCUACUCCUAUACCUAUUUCAGCUGCUACACCUACGCCUGCUACAUAUACAUUUGUUGGAUCCUCUAUCCAACCAACUUACUAUCGUAUUGUAGACUUGUAGUAUUGUUUGUGUUGGUCAGUGUCAGUGUGUGUGUUUGUGUGCUACUCUACUGCUUCUUGUUAGUUGUUAUUUUUUCAGAUUUUCAAGACUUUGGUUGUUUGGCACUUUGGAUAGCUAGUAUUAUUGCCACUUGUUAGUUGUUACUUUGUUCUUUGAUUGAGAUUUGCUUAAUAUAUUGAAAAACAGGUAAAACUAAAAGGAAAA